AGCAGCCGCGGUAAUUCCAGCUCCAAUAGCGUAUAUUAAAGUUGUUGCAGUUAAAAAGCUCGUAGUUGAAUUUCGGGGUUAGUAAGUUGGUCAUGCCUUCGGUAUGUACUGGCUUUACUGAUUCCUCCUUCUUGACGAACCGUGAUGUCAUUAAUUUGGUGUUGCGGGAAAUCAGGACUGUUACUUUGAAAAAAUUAGAGUGUUUAAAGCAGGCUAACGCUCGAAUACAUUAGCAUGGAAUAAUGAAAUAGGACGUUAAUCCUAUUUUGUUGGUUUCUAGGAUCGACGUAAUGACUAAUAGGGAUAGUUGGGGGCAUUAGUAUUCAAUUGUCAGAGGUGAAAUUCUUGGAUUUAUUGAAGACUAACUACUGCGAAAGCAUUUGCCAAGGAUGUUUUCUUUAAUCAAGAACGAAAGUUAGGGGAUCGAAGACGAUCAGAUACCGUCGUAGUCNNAACCAUAAACUAUGCC
rnacentral:rRNA from 1 species